AAACUUUAUAUUCAUAAAAUGAUAUUAAAUUGCAAAUUUAAAAGUAUUAAUUUAAAAUUAAUUAAAGUUUA
rnacentral:tRNA from 1 species